AGUGAACGCUGGCGGUAGGCCUAACACAUGCAAGUCGAACGGCAGCACAGUAAGAGCUUGCUCUUACGGGUGGCGAGUGGCGGACGGGUGAGGAAUACAUCGGAAUCUACUUUUUCGUGGGGAAAACCUUGGGAAAACUUACCCUAAUACCCAAUACACCCUACGGGGAAAACCAGGGGAUCUCGGGACUUUGCCCGUUUCAUGAAGCCGUUUCCGGAUUACCUAGUUGGCGGGGUAAGGGCCCACCAAGGCGACGAUCCGUAGCUGGUCUGAGAGGAUGAUCAGCCACACUGGAACUGAGACACGGUCCAGACUCCUACGGGAGGCAGCAGUGGGGAAUAUUGGACAAUGGGCGCAAGCCUGAUCCAGCCAUACCGCGUGGGUGAAGAAGGCCUUCGGGUUGUAAAGCCCUUUUGUUGGGAAAGAAAAGCAGCAGGUUAAUACCCCGCUGUUCUGACGGUACCCAAAGAAUAAGCACCGGCUAACUUCGUG
rnacentral:rRNA from 1 species